AGAGUUUGAUCCUGGCUCAGGAUGAACGCUGGCGGUAUGCCUAACACAUGCAAGUCGAACGAAGCCUUCGGGCUUAGUGGCGGACGGGGGAGUAACGCGUGAGAAUCUGCCUUCAGGACGGGGACAACAGUUGGAAACGACUGCUAAUACCCGAUAUGCCGAGAGGUGAAAUGUUUUUUCGCCUGAAGAUGAGCUCGCGUCUGAUUAGCUAGUUGGUGGGGUAAGAGCCUACCAAGGCGACGAUCAGUAGCUGGUCUGAGAGGAUGAGCAGCCACACUGGGACUGAGACACGGCCCAGACUCCUACGGGAGGCAGCAGUGGGGAAUUUUCCGCAAUGGGCGAAAGCCUGACGGAGCAAUACCGCGUGAGGGAGGAAGGUCUUUGGAUUGUAAACCUCUUUUCUCAAGGAAGAAUAAAUGACGGUACUUAAUAUAAGCAUCGGCUAACUCCGUGCCAGCAGCCGCGGUAAUACGGAGGAUGCAAGCGUUAUCCGGAAUCAUUGGGCGUAAAGAGUCCGUAGGUGGCACAUCAAGUCUGCUUUCAAAGACCGAAGCUCAACUUCGGAAAGGGAGUAGAAACUGAAGAGCUAGAGUAUAGUAGGGGUAGAGGGAAUUCCUAGUGUAGCGGUGAAAUGCGUAGAGAUUAGGAAGAACACCAGUGGCGAAGGCGCUCUACUGGGCAUAUACUGACACUGAGGGACGAAAGCUAGGGUAGCGAAAGGGAUUAGAUACCCCUGUAGUCCUAGCGGUAAACGAUGGAUACUAGGCGUAGUGCUGUAAAAGGGACUGUGCCGAAGCUAACGCGUUAAGUAUCCCGCCUGGGGAGUACGCACGCAAGUGUGAAACUCAAAGGAAUUGACGGGGGCCCGCACAAGCGGUGGAGUAUGUGGUUUAAUUCGAUGCAACGCGAAGAACCUUACCAAGACUUGACAUCCCGCGAAUCUUGCAGAGAUGCGAGAGUGCCUUCGGGAGCGCGGAGACAGGUGGUGCAUGGCUGUCGUCAGCUCGUGUCGUGAGAUGUUGGGUUAAGUCCCGCAAUGAGCUCAACCCUCGUCCUUAGUUGCCAGCAUUAAGUUGGGCACUCUAGGGAGACUGCCGGGGACAACUCGGAGGAAGGUGGGGAGGACGUCAAGUCAGCAUGCCCCUUACGUCUUGGGCUACACACGUACUACAAUGGUUGGGACAAAGGGGUGCGAAACCGCGAGGUGGAGCGAAUCUCAUCAAACCCAGCCACAGUUCAGAUUGCAGGCUGAAACUCGCCUGCAUGAAGGAGGAAUCGCUAGUAAUCGCAGGUCAGCAUACUGCGGUGAAUCCGUUCCCGGGCCUUGUACACACCGCCCGUCACACCAUGGAAGUUGGUCACGCCCGAAGUCGUUAUUCUAACCCAAGUGGAAGGAGACGCCGAAGGUGGGACUAGUGACUGGGGUGAAGUCGUAACAAG
rnacentral:rRNA from 1 species